GGGGGGGGGGGGGGGGGGGGGGGGGGGGGGGGGGGGGGGCAGGCGCUGCGGACCAGGCCAGUCCCAGGGGACCACACCUUGGCUGUGAAACGGGGUGUGUGUGGAGGGCUGGUGGGGAGGGGGCAGCCUGCGGGCGGGGACGUGGAGACGCGCAGGCUGGGGGCGGCGCAGGCGGGCUGAGGGGUCCUGGGCUCGCCAGGGCCUCGUCUGGGGUUAUGACUCCCGCGGGAAGCACGACUGCUUCGGAGAGUUCUCCACCGCCUUCGAGGAGAUGCAGAAAGCCUUUGGGGAGAACCAGUGGGACUGUGUGAACCCCAAGUACAAGCAGAAGAGGCGCAGUUACACGAACUCGGGCGUGGCCUUGCUGGCCGACCCGAAGGUGGCCGUUGACUUCACCCUCGGAACAGCUGCUCCCUUCACUAUAUCAACUCCUUCCAGCCCAGCGAGUACCUGCAGGCCCUGGUGGCCGUGGGCGAGAUCUGCCAGGACUAUGACAGCGACAAGAGGCUCUCUGCUUUGGGGUUUGGAGCCCAGAUCCCUCCCAAGGAUGAGGUGUCCCAUGACUUUGCCAUCAAUUUCAACCUGGAGGACGGCAUCCAGGGCAUGGUGGAGGCGUCCCAGAACUGCCUGCCCAGGGUCCAGCUGUAUGGCCACCACGUGGCUCCCAUCAUCUCCAAGGUGGCCUGCACGGCUGCAGCUGAGGAACGCAGCGGAGAGGCUCCUGUAGGUGGUGGGCGGGCACUGCGGGGACCGCGUGCCUUAGAAGGUGUGCCUGCUGCUGGGGAGGUGGGACCGGAUGGGGGUUUGCAGAGGUUGACAGAGCAGCCCGCGGGAGGCCCUGAGGCAGGGAGCGAGAGGCAGCUGGGUGGCAGUGGGGCUGAGAGACCAGGAGGCCCCAGAGCCAGUGGGGUAAGGUGAAUUCUUGCCCUGGAGGCUGACUUGCCGAGCCCGCAGGCAGCCCGAUGCUUAUGGUUCUCUUGGUCCAAUUGUGUAUACGUCGUUAUUUUUUUUUUUUUUUGUCUUUUUUUUGUUGUUGUUGUUGCUAUUUCUUUGGGCCGCUCCCACAGCAUAUGGAGGUACCCAGGCUAGGGGUUGAAUCGGAGCUGUAGCCACCGGCCUACGCCAGAGCCACAGCAACGCAGGAUGCGAGCUGCGGCUGCAACCUACACCACAGCUCACGGCAACGCCGGAUCGUUAACCCACUGAGCAAGGGCAGGGACCGAACCCGCAACCUCAUGGUUCCUAGCCGGAUUCGUUAACCACUGCGCCACGACGGGAACUCCCAUACGUCGUUAUUUUGUUUGCAUGUGCUCUUGUUUGGUUUUUUUGCUUUUUGAGGGUUGCACCCAAAGCAUAUGGAGGUUCCCAGGCUAGGGGUUGAAUCAGAGCUACACCUGCUGGCCUACACCACAGCCACAGCAACGCCAGAUCCUUAACCCACCGAGCAAGAGCAGGGAUCUUGCUCAACCUCACGGUUCCUAACUGGAUUCGUUUCCGCUGCACCAUGACAAGAACUCCUGUUUGCAUGUGUGUGUUUUUUUGUUUUUGUUUUUGUCUUUUUUAGGGCCACAUCUGCGGCAUGUGGAGGUUCCCAGGCUAGGGGUCUACUCGGAGCUACAGCUGCCGGCCUACACCAGAGCCACAGCAACGUGGGAUCCGAGCCAUGUCUGCCACCUACACCACAGCUCACAACAAUGGGGGAUCCUUAACGUACUGAGUGAGGCCAG
rnacentral:lncRNA from 1 species